ACCGGGUGUCCAGUGUGGCAUUUCAGGAGCUUGGAGAAAGAGGAUAGAGAAGAGCCCUACAGCUGCAUAACCUCCUGAGAGAGGGCUUCUUUAGUUUGCAAUGGAGAACUGGAGAUGGUGCUCAUUCACAGAUAUCUAACACUCGGAACCGGAAGACAGUAAAGGUCAUAAAUGAUGUACCUUUUACAUCUGGCAGAGGGCCAGGACAGUUCUGGGGUUCAUAUUUCUCUCCUUCUCUACUCUGAGGUUUAUACGGCCCCCCCACCGCCCCCAAGAUCACCUUGAUGGGACAAUUUGGCCUAUCCAGGCAGGAUCAACAAGAGGAAUUCAAGGAGAAAGCAAAUUGUUUUGCAAAUAGAGUAAGAUAUGUUUUGCAUUUCCAAAGGCAAUGCAAGAAGGAAGGACAAACGGAGGUGGGAACAGGCUCAAUCCAAGACGAGGUGAGAAGAGCUAGGGAAGACAGAGAAUCCAAAGAGGGCAAGAGGCAGUGUGUAUCCUGUACGCCAGUGCCCCAGCUUCUAGCUAUAUUUUUGUCCCCACCAGGCCUGAAGCAUGACUCAGCACUUAAUUACAUUCCCAGAGGAAAAUCCACCUCACAAGCAUGACUGGUGAUUUCAGUGGAAGAGUCAGAAGAAGCUUUUACAUCUCGCACAGUCCUCAUCAAUUCCUUCCUGAUCUGUCCUUUCAUCUCAGUCCCCACUCAGAGGCUCUGCCUGCUGGAGAGAGGAGUGGGAGAAAUGUCCUUCUUCAAAGCCAGCUUCACAGGCCCAUAGCCGUUGAGGUUGCAUAGGGCCCCAAGCUGAAAGAGCCCCAUUUAAGAUUUAAUGCUGUGCUCAUGCCCUCUUAAAAUUAUUGCUGAACUCUGCUCUGUAAGUGAAGUCCAUGGGGCAGCAGCACAUGCGCAGGAGCAUGGAGGAGGCGUAAUAUGCAUGUCAGCUGCUCUUUGCUGCCCAUUCCCAUAGAACAUUUGCAAUGCCCCAGCAGCAGAGGAUGGAUGCUGGCGGUGAGAGGUGAAGCCGGCUGGGCUUCUGGGUGGGGUGGGGACUUGGAGAACUUUUCUGUCUAGCUAAACGAUUGUAAACGCACCAAUCAGCACUCUGUGUCUAGCUAAAGGUUUGUUACAGACCAAUCGGUCUGUAAAACAGACCAAUCAGCUCUCUGUAAAAUGGACCAAUCAGCAGGAUGUGGGUGGGUCCAGAUAAGGGAAUAAAAGCAGGCCACCCAAGCCAGCAGCGGCAACCCGCUUGGGUCCCCUUCCACGCCGUGGAAGCUUUGUUCUUUUGCUCUUUGCAAUAAAUCAUGCUGCUGCUCACUCUUUGGGUCCACAACACCUUUAUGAGCUGUAACACUCACCACAAAGGUCUGCAGCUUCACUCCUGAAGCCAUAGAGACCAUGAACCCACCGGGGAGGACCAGACAACUCCAGACGCACUGCCUUUAAGAGCUGUAACACUCACGGCGAAGGUCUGCAGCUUCACUCCUGAAGUCAGUGAGACCAGGAACCCACCCAGAGGAACGAACAACUCCAGACGCGCCGCCUUUAUGAACUGUAACACUCACUGCGAAGGUCUGCAGCUUCACUCCUGAAGUCCGCAAGACCACGAACCCACCAAAAGGAAAAAACUCUGGACAUGUUCGAACAUCAGAAGGAACAAACUCCGGACACACCAUCUUUAAGAACUGUAACACUCACCACCAGGGUCCGCGGCUUCAUUCUUGAAGUCAGCAAGACCAAGAACCCACCAAUUCCGGACCCAGUGGUUCCAUGGAGUGUGGAGGUUCAGCAAGACUCAAAGUGAGAACGUCACCAACAAACUGAGUAUGUCACCAACAAACUAAAUUCUUUCCCAAGUUGAUGUCGGUCUCAAAGAAAGAAUAUCCAAUUGGAAAAGGCCGUCAGGUUUCAUUCACUGGCCAGAGAAUGAAGAACGUGAUCUCUUGCUCUAAAUGCACCUUCUCCCUAAACAAUAGAAGGCGUGGGGUUGUGAAGGACUGGGUACAGGGAGGGAGAGGCAUUGUUAGCAUGUGGAGGGUGGGACUCCAGACACCCAAGCUCAAAUUUAUAAAAAUUUCUUCAUAUAUCACAUGUACACAAAAUGGUAGAGAUUUUCUU
rnacentral:lncRNA from 10 species